AAACCACCAGGGAUUGCCUUAGUAGCGGCGAGUGAAGCGGCAAAAGCUCAAAUUUGAAAUCUGGCGCCUUCGGUGUCCGAGUUGUAAUUUGAAGAUUGUAACCUUGGGGUUGGCUCUUGUCUAUGUUUCUUGGAACAGGACGUCACAGAGGGUGAGAAUCCCGUGCGAUGAGAUGCCCAAUUCUAUGUAAGGUGCUUUCGAAGAGUCGAGUUGUUUGGGAAUGCAGCUCUAAGUGGGUGGUAAAUUCCAUCUAAAGCUAAAUAUUGGCGAGAGACCGAUAGCGAACAAGUACAGUGAUGGAAAGAUGAAAAGAACUUUGAAAAGAGAGUGAAAAAGUACGUGAAAUUGUUGAAAGGGAAGGGUUUGAGAUCAGACUCGAUAUUUUGUGAGCCUUGCCUUCGUGGCGGGGUGACCCGCAGCUUAUCGGGCCAGCAUCGGUUUGGGCGGUAGGAUAAUGGCGUAGGAAUGUGACUUUACUUCGGUGAAGUGUUAUAGCCUGCGUUGAUGCUGCCUGCCUAGACCGAGGACUGCGAUUUUAUCAAGGAUGCUGGCAUAAUGAUCCCAAACCGC
rnacentral:rRNA from 1 species